CAGUCGCCGCGGUAAUACGUAGGGGGCAAGCGUUAUCCGGAAUUACUGGGUGUAAAGGGAGCGUAGACGGUUAAACAAGUCUGAAGUGAAAUGCCGGGGCUCAACCCCGGAGCUGCUUUGGGAACUGUAGAACUGGAGUGUCGGAGGGGUAAGCGGAAUUCCCAGUGUAGCGGUGAAAUGCGUAGAUAUUGGGAGGAACACCGGCGGCGAAGGCGGCUUACUGGACGACAACCGACGUUGAGGCUCGAAGGCGUGGGUAGCAAACAGGAUUAGAUACCCCUGUAGUCCCUGUCUCUUAUAC
rnacentral:rRNA from 1 species